rnacentral:lncRNA from 1 species
UUCAAGAUAUUUUUUUUUUUUUGAUUAUAUAACUUUUUUGUUAUCUUUAGGCCAAUUUGCACAGACUACAGCUGUAUCUACCUCUUGUACUACACCUGUAUCUACCUCUUGUGCUACACCUGGUAAGUUAAACAACUAUUAGUUUUUAAUGUGCAAACUUUAUAAUAUGUUUAACUUUAGUUCCUUAGUCAU